rnacentral:rRNA from 1 species
UAGCGUAGGGUGCAAGCGUUGUCCGGAAGUUAUUGGGACGUAAAGCGCGUGGUAGGCUGACCGGAAAGUCGGGCGUGAAAGCCCUCGGGCUCAACCCAGGGAACUGCACUCGAAACUCCCGGUCUAAGAGGUGGUGGAGAGGGAAGGUGGAAUUCCUGGUGUAGGAGGUGAAAUUCGUAGAUAUCAGGAGGAACACCAGUGGCGAAGGCGGCUUCCUGGACACCAACUGACGCUGAGACGCGAAAGCGUGGGGAGCAAACAGGAUUAGACUA